rnacentral:ncRNA from 1 species
CUUUACUAUCAGCCCUAGCUCAGAUCAUACAUGCAAGUUUCCGCCUCCCCGUGAGAAUGCCCAAAGCCCCCCGCCCGGGGGCAAGGAGCGGGCAUCAGGCUCCCCCACCAGCCCAAGACGCCUUGCUACGCCACACCCUCAAGGGACCUCAGCAGUAGUAAACAUUAGGCCAUAAGUGAAAACUUGACCUAGUUAGUGCUAAAAGGGUCGGUAAAAUUCGUGCCAGCCACCGCGGUUAUACGAAAGACCCCAGUUGAUAGACACGGCAUAAAGGGUGGUUAGGAGUUCUUAUAAAUAAGGCUAAAGAGCCCCUAAGCCGUCGCACGCACCUCGAGAGCUCGAAGCCCCCACACGAAAGUAGCCUUAAACAUCAAACCCGACCCCACGAAAGCUAAGAAACAAACUGGGAUUAGAUACCCCACUAUGCUUAGCCCUAAACUAAGAUGCCCUCCGCCCGGGUACUACGAGCAUAGCUUAAAACCCAAAGGACUUGGCGGUGCCUCAGACCCACCUAGAGGAGCCUGUUCUAGAAUCGAUAAACCCCGUUAAACCUCACCCCUUCUUGUUUUUCCCGCCUAUAUACCGCCGUCGUCAGCUUACCCCACAAAGGCCCAACAGUAAGCAAAAUUGGUACACCCAAAAACGCCAGGUCAAGGUGUAGCGAACGAAGUGGAAAGAAAUGGGCUACAUUUUCUGCAACAGAAUAUCACGAAUGACAGCCUGAAAAAAUGCCUGAAGGUGGAUUUAGUAGUAAAAAGGAAACAGCGUGUUCUUUUGAACCAGGCUCUGAAGCGCGCACACACCGCCCGUCACUCUCCCCCACCCAAACUUAUUAUGAUUCUUAACACAACAACCACCAACACGGGGAGGCAAGUCGUAACAUGGUAAGUGUACCGGAAGGUGCACUUGGAAUAAC